ACUGCCCAGCCCCCUACUCUUCUGCAGGUGGUAACGGCGGGCGCGGGUGGUCUGGGCUUCAAAAAUAAUCAGCCUGUGCGCCUCGCUGGACUGUCCCCCCUCCAGCGGCAGGCUGCGCCGCAUCAGGAGGAUGCCUGUGUUGGUAAUGUCUGAAGUAUUCUGCCGAUCAUAUAGCAUCUUGAUUCGGCUUAGUUGCACAGUAUGUUAAAUCAACCUGCUCCGUGUGGCUUGCUAUCGUUGUUCACUUGCUACCUACGUAUGUAUGGACCUUUGUAUUAGCACUUUAUUAAGCUUUAUAUAAUCAGCGUAUGUUAAGUAGUACUAUGUCGUUGCAUUUCUGGUAUUUUGCGGUGCGGUUUGCUUGUUAUUAUGCCUCUAUGCAGUGGUUUACAAGUAGGCUAGUCAG
rnacentral:lncRNA from 1 species